GGAGAAAUGGCUCAGAGCUUAAGAGCACUGGCUGCUCUUCCAGAGGUCCUGAGUUCAACUCCCAGUAACUACA
rfam:Cricetulus griseus cell line CHO-K1, whole genome shotgun sequence.